GGGGUGCAGCAGGCGCGAAAACUGUGCAAUAAGCGAAAGCUUGACAGGGUUAUUGUGAGUGAUUUCCGUUAAGGAAAUCUUUUGGCACCUUUAAAAAUGGUGCAGAAUAAGGGGUGGGCAAGUUUGGUGUCAGCCGCCGCGGUAAUACCAGCACCCCGAGUUGUCGGGACGAUUAUUGGGCCUAAAGCAUCCGUAGCCUGUUCUGCAAGUCCUCCGUUAAAUCCACCUGCUCAAAGGAUGGGUUGCGGAGGAUACCGCAGAGCUAGGAGGCGGGAGAGGCAAACGGUACUCAGUAGGUAGGGGUAAAAUCCAUUGAUAUCAUGAAGACCACCAGUGGGGAAGGCGGUUCGCCAGAACGCGCUUGACGGUGAGGGAUGAAAGCUGGGGGAGCAAACCGGAUUAGAUACCCGGGUAGUCCCAGCCGUAAACGAUGCAGACUCGGUGAUGGGUUGGCCUUAAGCCAACCCAGUGCCGCAGGGAAGCCGUUAAGUCUGCCGCCUGGGGAGUACGGUCGCAAGACUGAAACUUAAAGGAAU
rnacentral:rRNA from 1 species